CACUCCGGUAGCCUAAUGGUUAUAGCGUUCGCAUCGGAUGCGGGAGGUCGUGGGUUCAAUCUCCGGUCGAGUCA